UGCAGAGUUUAACAAAGGUCCCAAUGAACAUUCAUUGCUGUCGGUGGGUUUAACUCUGAGGACAAGCUCACUGAACAAUGAAUGGAACUGUGGCUCACCUUAGGCAACCA